GGCGAGAUAGCUCAGUUGGCUAGAGCACACGGUUCAUACCCGUGGUGUCGAGGGUUCGAAUCCCCCUCUCGCUA
rnacentral:tRNA from 93 species